GUCUAUCAGAAGUUAUUUAUAGUCUGGCCUGCUCACUGAUAAAUUAUUAAAGAGCCGCGGUAAUUUGACCGUGCAAAGGUAGCAUAAUCAUUAGUUCUUUGAUUGGGAACUUGUAUGAAUGGUCGGACAAAGGAAAAACUGUCUCUAACGCCAAAUUGAACUUGACUUUUAAGUGAAAAGGCUUAAAUACUUCAGGGGGACGAUAAGACCCUAUAAAGCUUUAUAGAUUUGUAGGAUAUAAGUUAAUUAAAAGAUAAAAUUUUAUUCUUAUAAAUAUAUUAAGUUGGGGCGACUAAGGUAUAAUUUCCAGUAACUGAUUGAAGAUAAAGCAAAGUUAGUUGGUUGAAGUGGUAGUUGAUCCUUUUUAAAGAUUAAAGAUUAAGUUACUUUAGGGAUAACAGCGUAAUUUUUUCUGAGAGUCCGUAUCGAAGAAAAAGUUUGCGACCUCGAUGUUGAAUUAAAUUGUCUUUCUAGUGCAGCAGCUAGAUAAGAAAGUCUGUUCGACUUUUAAAAAUUUACAUGAUUUGAGUUCAGACCGGCGUAAGCCAGGUCGGUUUCUAUCUCCUGAAAGAAUAAAAAUUAUUUUAGUACGAAAGGAUUUAAUAAUUGAAAGUUUUUUAUAACAUGAAAU
rnacentral:rRNA from 1 species